rnacentral:rRNA from 1 species
UACGUAGGGUGCAAGCGUUAAUCGGAAUUACUGGGCGUAAAGCGUGCGCAGGCGGUUAUGCAAGACAGAGGUGAAAUCCCCGGGCUCAACCUGGGAACUGCCUUUGUGACUGCAUGGCUAGAGUACGGUAGAGGGGGAUGGAAUUCCGCGUGUAGCAGUGAAAUGCGUAGAUAUGCGGAGGACACCGAUGGCGAAGGCAAUCCCUGGACCUGUAUGACGCUCAUGCACGAAAGCGUGGGGAGCAACAGGAUUAGAUACC